rnacentral:rRNA from 1 species
UACGUAGGGGGCGGGCGUUGUCCGGAAUGAUUGGGCGUAAAGGGCGCGUAGGCGGCCCGGCAAGUCUGAAGUGAAAGUCCUGUUUUUAAGAUGGGAAUUGCUUUGGAUACUGUCGGGCUUGAGUGCAGGAGAGGUAAGUGGAAUUCCCAGUGUAGCGGUGAAAUGCGUAGAGAUUGGGAGGAACACCAGUGGCGAAGGCGACUUACUGGACUGUAACUGAUGCUGAGGCACGAAAGCGUGGGGAUCAAAC